UGCCGGCGAGCGGCGGACGGGUGAGUAAAGUCUGGGGAUCUGGCUUAUGGAGGGGGGUAACCAUUGGAAACGGUGGCUAAUACCGCAUGAUGUCGCAAGACCAAAGUGGGGGACUUUAGGGCCUCACGCCAUAAGAUGAACCCAGAUGAGAUUAGCUAGUAGGUGCGGUAAUGGCGUACCUAGGCGACGAUCUCUAGCUGGUCUGAGAGGAUGACCAGCCACACUGGAACUGAGAAACGGUCCAGACUCCUACGGGAGGCAGCAGUGGGGAAUAUUGCACAAUGGGCGGAAGCCUGAUGCAGCCAUGCCGCGUGUGUGAAGAAGGCCUUAGGGUUGUAAAGCACUUUCAGCGGGGAGGAAGGCGGUAAGAGUAAUAUGCUUAUCGAUUGACGUUACCCGCAAAAGAAGCACCGGCUAACUCCGUGCCAGCAGCCGCGGUAAUACGGAGGGUGCGAGCGUUAAUCGGAAUAACUGGGCGUAAAGGGCAUGUAGGCGGUAAGUUAAGUCAGAUGUGAAAUCCCCGAGCUUAACUUGGGAACGGCAUUUGAGACUGGCGGGCUAGAGUUUUGUAGAGGGGGGUAGAAUUCCAGGUGUAGCGGUGAAAUGCGUAAAGAUCUGGAGGAAUACCGGUGGCGAAGGCGGCCCCUGGACAAGGACUGACGCUGAGGUGCGAAAGCGUGGGUAGCAAACAGGAUUAGAUACCCUGGUAGUCCACGCUGUAAACGAUGUCGAUUUGGAGGUUGUGGCCUAGUGUUAUGGCGUCCGAAGCUAACGCGAUAAAUCGACCGCCUGGGGAGUACGGCCGCAAGGUUAAAACUCAAAUGAAUUGACGGGGGCCCGCACAAGCGGUGGAGCAUGUGGUUUAAUUCGAUGCAACGCGAAGAACCUUACCUACUCUUGACAUCCACGGAAUUGAGCAGAGAUGCUUAAGUGCCUUCGGGAGCCGUGAGACAGGUGCUGCAUGGCUGUCGUCAGCUCGUGUUGUGAAAUGUUGGGUUAAGUCCCGCAACGAGCGCAACCCUUGUCCUUUGUUGCCAGCGCGUGAUGGCGGGAACUCAAAGGAGACUGCCGGUGAUAAACCGGAGGAAGGUGGGGAUGACGUCAAGUCAUCAUGGCCCUUACGAGUAGGGCUACACACGUGCUACAAUGGCGCAUACAAAGAGCGGCGAGCGUGCGAACGUAAGCGAACCUCAUAAAGUGCGUCGUAGUCCGGAUUGGAGUCUGCAACUCGACUCCAUGAAGUCGGAAUCGCUAGUAAUCGUGGAUCAGAAUGCUACGGUGAAUACGUUCCCGGGCCUUGUACACACCGCCCGUCACACCAUGGGAGUGGGCGGCAAAAGAAGUAGGUAGCUUAACCUUCGGGGGGGCGCUUACCACUUUGUGGUUCA
rnacentral:rRNA from 1 species